rnacentral:rRNA from 1 species
GAGGAAAAGAAACCAACAGGGAUUGCCCUAGUAACGGCGAGUGAAGCGGCAACAGCUCAAAUUUGAAAUCUGGCUCUUUUAGAGUCCGAGUUGUAAUUUGCAGAGGGCGCUUUGGCUUUGGCAGCGGUCCAAGUUCCUUGGAACAGGACGUCACAGAGGGUGAGAAUCCCGUACGUGGUCGCUGGCUAUUGCCGUGUAAAGCCCCUUCGACGAGUCGAGUUGUUUGGGAAUGCAGCUCUAAAUGGGAGGUACAUUUCUUCUAAAGCUAAAUAUUGGCCAGAGACCGAUAGCGCACAAGUAGAGUGAUCGAAAGAUGAAAAGCACUUUGGAAAGAGAGUCAAACAGCACGUGAAAUUGUUGAAAGGGAAGCGCUUGCAGCCAGACUUGCUUGCAGUUGCUCAUCCGGGCUUUUGCCCGGUGCACUCUUCUGCAGGCAGGCCAGCAUCAGUUUGGGCGGUAGGAUAAAGGUCUCUGUCACGUACCUCUCUUCGGGGAGGCCUUAUAGGGGAGACGACAUACUACCAGCCUGGACUGAGGUCCGCGCAUCUGCUAGGAUGCUGGCGUAAUGGCUGUAAGCGGCCCGUCUUGAAACACGGACCAAGGAGUCUAACAUCUAUGCGAGUGUUUGGGUGUCAAGCCCGAGCGCGUAAUGAAAGUGAACGGAGGUAGGAACCCGCAAGGGUGCACUAUCGACCGAUCCUGAUGUCUUCGGAAGGAUUUGAGUAAGAGCAUGGCUGUUGGGACCCGAAAGAUGGUGAACUAUGCUUGAAUAGGGUGAAGCCAGAGGAAACUCUGGUGGAGGCUCGCAGCGGUUCUGACGUGCAAAUCGAUCGUCAAAUUUGGGCAUAGGGGCGAAAGACUAAUCGAACUAUCU